rnacentral:rRNA from 1 species
GACGAAGGGGGCUAGCGUUGUUCGGAAUUACUGGGCGUAAAGCGCGUGUAGGCGGUUGUUCAAGUCAGGUGUGAAAGCCUUGAGCUCAACUCAAGAAAUGCACUUGAUACUGGAUGACUAGAGGACCGGAGAGGAUAGUGGAAUUCCCAGUGUAGUGGUGAAAUACGUAGAGAUUGGGAAGAACACCAGUGGCGAAGGCGACUUACUGGACACAUAUUGACGCUGAGGUGCGAAAGCGUGGGGAGCAAACAGG